UUGUCACGUUGACGUUGGCGUCCUAACGGACGUGACGUCAAAUACUUUGUACGUUAUUCUGAUGAAGACAACAGUCGAAACUGGAAAAAAGAUAAAAGGAUAAAAGGAAAACAUGAAGAUAGUUCUAGGAAACAUUUUCAUUCUGUGUUUGGUAUAUGUAAUGCUGUCAAGUGCAAUUGCUGGAGAAAAAAAUGUUGACGAUUCUUGCUUGGAAACUGCUGAGGAAGAGGUUUCCUGUUUGUACAAGAACGCCAUAUGGACAUAUGACGUCGAACAAGAAUCAUGUGUAGCUAAAGUUGGUUGUUAUCCGAGAUAUGCUCCAGAAAGUAACGUCUUCAGACAACCCGAUCAUUGCCUUUCAUGGUGCAUUAAAGCAUAAGACAAGAAAUAUAUGUUGAAGAGAACACCCUUUUCUCCUUUAGUUAAGAAUAAAUAAAACUGUAAUGUUUCGUUAAAUAAGAUGACAAUACUUCUAACACACUCUUUAAAAUAUAGAAACGAUAUAAAGACAAAAGCACUUUCAAACAAACAUAAUUAUAUGGAAAUAUUGUUUCUUUUACAAUACAAUAUUAAGCUGAAUAAUUUAAUCAAUCUUAAAAAUGUAACUUUGAUUUAAUAAAACUGUUUUAUAUUAGAAAUGAAUCUUUGU